rnacentral:tRNA from 1 species
UCAAAAGAGAGAGAGCCAACUCCCAUCUCCAGCCCCCAAAACUGGCAUUUUACUUAAACUACCUUCUG